AAUGAGACAACUAUCCACAAAAGACCAAAAUGACACAGACAUUAACAACUAUAGGUCACCGUACGGCCUUAAACAAUGAGCAAAGCCCAUACCGCAUAGUCAGCUAUAAAACGCCCCGAUAAGACAAUGUAAUACAAUUCAAACGAGAGAACUAACGGCCUUAUUUAUGUAAAAAAAUGAACGAAAAAUAAAUAUGUAACACAUAAACAA
rnacentral:lncRNA from 1 species